rnacentral:snRNA from 1 species
GGAUGUGAGGGUUAUUUGGAUGUGACAUCUGUCACCCUACUGAUCAAGGAGGUUGAUUCGGCUGAUCUGGGUGGCUAGUGGCUUCUCUCAGGGCUCCAGGUGUGUUUGAGGACGACCUUUGCAGAACAGAGGCGGACUUGUCUUCAGUCAAAGGUGUAAGAGUGGUGGGGCUCUCCUGCUAGAACCUUUAAACAAUCUCUCAAGACCUAUUUAUGAGACUGGUUCCCCAUUUCCUGUCAACUCCUGCUCAUUAACUGAGUA